rnacentral:rRNA from 1 species
UACGGGGGGAGCAAGCGUUGUUCGGAUUUACUGGGCGUAAAGGGCGCGUAGGCGGCCAGCACAAGUCAGUUGUGAAAUCUCCGAGCUUAACUCGGAAAGGUCAACUGAUACUGUGCGGCUAGAGUGCGGAAGGGGCAACUGGAAUUCUUGGUGUAGCGGUGAAAUGCGUAGAUAUCUGGAGGAACACCGGUGGCGAAGGCGGCAUCCUGGACCGGCAUUGACGCUGAGGCGCGAAAGCCAGGGGAGCAAACGGG